rnacentral:misc_RNA from 1 species
AAAUAUAUCUAUUACACUGUUUUGGACAGAAACCUAAUAACUAUUUCUUCUCAAUUUUUUUAUUCUUCAAAACUUUCAACAACGGAUCUCUUGGGUUCUCGCAUCGAUGAAGAACGCAGCGAAUUGCGAUACGUAUCAUGACUUGCAGACGUGAAUCAUCAAUCUUUGAACGCACAUUGCGCCUUGAGGUAUUCCUCAAGGCAUGCCUGUUUGAGCGUCGGCUCCCUUCAAACCUCCAGGUUUGGUGUUGCCUCCGAAAUUCCACAGUUGGUCGCAAAUACGUUUACUUUCAACUCCCUUUUUUCGCCCCUCAAAUCAGG